GGUCCCGUGGCUCAGUGGAAGCGCGUCCGCUUCACACGCGGAAGGUCGCUGGUUCGAUCCCAGCCGGGACCA
rnacentral:tRNA from 1 species